UCAGAAAUAUGACAGUGCCCUGGUUACCACAAUGCACACAUCUUGUCCAAACUACAAACAGUGAUAACUUGGCCCAGAAUGAAGUAUCGUAUCUUCCAUAAUGCCCCUCUCAUUUACCAGAUAUAUGCACGUUCCAGAAACAGUUUAUGUCCAGCUCCAUUAGAUCCAACUGUAGUAUUUUGUGCUGCAGUAGAAGAUGUUUGUCAGACUGAUGCUAAUUGCUCUGCUGAUGAAAUAUGUUGUGACGAUGCAUGCGGUAAAUACUGUCGAACACCAUUAAGCUUCGAUGAAUGGAUCCGUGAGCAAUAUCCACAAUAUUUUUAUUAAGAUGUCUAAUGAUGUGUGAUCAUACAAACUCCAGA